UCCUUAGAUGUUCUGGGCUGCACGCGCGCUACACUGACGCACGCAACAGGUGCCUGCUCCGAGAGGACUGGGUAAUCAUUUGAGUGUGCGUCGUGAUGGGGAUAGAAUAUUGUAAUUAUUACUCUUCAACGAGGAAUUCCUAGUAAGCGCAAGUCAGCAGCUUGCGCUGAUUACGUCCCUGCCCUUUGUACACACCGCCCGUCGCUCCUACCGAUGGGUGAUCCGGUGAAUGAUUCGGACUUCAGCGGCUCCUCUGGGGUGCGCCGGAGAAAGUUUUGUGAACCUUAUCACUUGGAGGAAGGAGAAGUCGUAACA
rnacentral:rRNA from 1 species